rnacentral:tRNA from 1 species
GCCCUUGUAGCUCAGUCGGCUAGAGUGCGUCCUUGGUAAGGACGAGGUCAUCGGUUCGAUUCCGAUCAAGGGCUCCA